AACGAACGCUGGCGGCAUGCCUAACACAUGCAAGUCGAACGAGACCUUCGGGUCUAGUGGCGCACGGGUGCGUAACGCGUGGGAACCUGCCCUUAGGUUCGGAAUAACUCCCCGAAAGGGGUGCUAAUACCGGAUAAUGUCUUCGGACCAAAGAUUUAUCGCCUUUGGAUGGGCCCGCGUUGGAUUAGCUAGUUGGUAGGGUAAAAGCCUACCAAGGCGACGAUCCAUAGCUGGUCUGAGAGGAUGAUCAGCCACACUGGGACUGAGACACGGCCCAGACUACUACGGGAGGCAGCAGUGGGAAAUAGUGGACAAUGGGCGAAAGCCUGAUCCAGCAAUGCCGCGUGAGUGAUGAAGGCCUUAGGGUUGUAAAGCUCUUUUAACCGGGAUGAUAAUGACAGUACCGGGAGAAUAAGCUCCGGCUAACUCCGUG
rnacentral:rRNA from 1 species